AAAGAUCACAGUCGUUGCUUUGAGCGGAAUGACUUGGAGCGGCCAGUGUGGGAGAAGUUAUGGAGGCAGAGCUGAGAAUUCUCACAGUGAGGGGCGGAAAGGGACAAGGGGUCAGGACUGGCCUCCGGGCUCUAGUUCUGGGCGGACAGCAGUACGGACUGACGGGAAGCCAGUGGGAGGUGGGGUGCGUGUUGGACUGCACCGUGACAUCUCUUGGGGGUGCCCAGGGCAAGAUGUAUACGCUGCUGUCGGGCUUGUACAAGUACAUGUUCCAGAAGGACGAGUACUGCAUCCUGAUCCUCGGCCUGGACAAUGCGGGGAAGACGACCUUCCUGGAGCAGUCGAAAACCCGGUUUAACAAGAACUACAAGGGGAUGAGUCUGUCCAAAAUCACCACCACCGUGGGUCUAAACAUCGGCACCGUGGAUGUGGGAAAGGCUCGCCUCAUGUUCUGGGACUUAGGGGGCCAGGAGGAGCUGCAGUCUUUGUGGGACAAGUACUACGCAGAGUGCCACGGCGUCAUCUACGUCAUUGACUCCACCGACGAGGAGAGGUUGGUGGAGUCCAAGCAAGCCUUCGGUGGUGACAAGUGAGGCACUGUGCGGUGUCCCUGUCCUGGUGCUGGCCAACAAGCAGGAUGUGGAGACCUGCCUCUCGAUCCCUGACAUCAAGACGGCCUUCAGCGACUGCACCUGCAAGAUCGGCCGGCGGGACUGCCUGACCCAGGCCUGCUCCGCGCUCACAGGCAAAGGGGUGCGCGAGGGCAUCGAGUGGAUGGUGAAGUGUGUCGUGCGGAACGUCCACCGGCCGCCGCGGCAGAGGGACAUCACGUAGGUGCAGCCGAUGUGCUGUCAGGGACAGCUCGUCCCCUUCUGCUGGAGGAGUGGCCUUCCUGCCGGCCCUGUGCCACCGACCCUGGGGUUGGGUUUGCUUUGCUUUGUGAUUCUUCAUUUGCUUUGUGUUUCUGUAAGACAAUCUUUCCUC